AUUGAACGCUGGCGGCAGGCCUAACACAUGCAAGUCGAACGAAUGGCGGACGGGCGAGCAAUGUCUGGGAAACUGCCUGAUGGACGGGGAUAACUACUGGAAACGUUAGCUACUACUGCAUACCACAAGAUCGGGCCAGAUGGGAUGAGCUAGUCGGUGGGGUAACGGCUUCACAUGGCGAAGAUCCCUAGCUGGUCUGAGAGGGUGACCGGCCAGACUGGGACUGAGACACGGUCCAGACUCCUACGGGAGGCAGCAGUAGUGAAUAUUGCGCAAUGGGCGAAAGCCUGCUGCAGCCAUGCCGCGUGUGUGAAGAAGGCCUUCGGAUUGUAAAGCUCUUUGGUCGGAGAUGCGUUAUCCGCAGAGGAAGCAGCGGCUAACUCCGUGCCAGCUGCCGCGGUAAUUC
rnacentral:rRNA from 1 species